CAGAUAGCUCAGUUGGUAGAGCAGAGGACUGAAAAUCCUCGUGUCGCUGGUUCGAUUCCGGCUCUGGG
rnacentral:tRNA from 40 species